rnacentral:rRNA from 1 species
UACGUAGGGUGCAAGCGUUAAUCGGAAUUACUGGGCGUAAAGCGUGCGCAGGCGGUUAUGUAAGACAGAUGUGAAAUCCCCGGGCUCAACCUGGGAACUGCAUUUGUGACUGCAUCGCUGGAGUGCGGCAGAGGGGGAUGGAAUUCCGCGUGUAGCAGUGAAAUGCGUAGAUAUGCGGAGGAACACCGAUGGCGAAGGCAAUCCCCUGGGCCUGCACUGACGCUCAUGCACGAAAGCGUGGGAGCAAACAGG